UGGGCAAACCUAGUGAAAGCUAGGGACGCAAAGCUAAAGGGUCUAAAAAAUGUAAAUUUUAUGACAGCCAGUUGC
rnacentral:ncRNA from 1 species